rnacentral:lncRNA from 1 species
AAAGGUUUAACUGAUAAACAAAUAUGGUUUUGUUACUUGUAGACCUAUAGAGGAUGAAGGAUAAAGCAUAAAGAAACCAAAGGAGAUUUUCUAAUUCAAAUAACUAUAACUGAGCUUGCUUAAUUCUUAAAAUAAAAGGUAGACCUAUUUAGCCAUUGAUGAAUUAUAACUUCUACCAUGUGAUAUUCUUGUUUUCUAUAAACUAUAACAUAUCCGCAUUAUUUAGAAAACGCUUAUUAUUUUUGUU